rnacentral:rRNA from 1 species
UACGGAGGGUGCGAGCGUUAAUCGGAAUUACUGGGCGUAAAGCGUACGCAGGCGGUUUGUUAAGCGAGAUGUGAAAGCCCUGGGCUCAACCUGGGAACUGCAUUUCGAACUGGCAAACUAGAGUGUGAUAGAGGGUGGUAGAAUUUCAGGUGUAGCGGUGAAAUGCGUAGAGAUUUGAAGGAAUACCGAUGGCGAAGGCAGCCACCUGGGUCAACACUGACGCUCAUGUACGAAAGCGUGGGGAGCAAACAGG